ACCCUCUCAGGGUCAUGCCUGGAGAGUUUUCAGUCCUCUACCGGCCCCGGCUAUGGGAGGGAGAGUCAAACAGAGACCUACCCAUUCCAUUUCUAGCUUGGGCAGUGGCUUGAGAGUGGAAGGCAAUCUGCUACAAAU